AUGGCAUAAUGAUGAAACUAUUUUUUCCCGAGAUCUUUUCACUGAUGAGUGAAAUAAUCCUCCUACUCAUUCUGA